rnacentral:rRNA from 1 species
CCUACGGGAGGCAGCAGUGGGGAAUAUUGGACAAUGGGGGGAACCCAGAUCCAGCGACGCCGCGUGAGUGAAGAAGUAUUUCGGUAUGUAAAGCUCUAUCAGCAGGGAAGAAAGAAAUGACGGUACCUGACUAAGAAGCCCCUGCUAACUACGUGCCAGCAGCCGCGGUACUACGUAGGGGGCAAGCGUUAUCCGGAUUUACUGGGUGUAAAGGGAGCGGAGACGGCGAUGCAAGUCUGAAGUGAAAGGCGGGGGCCCAACCCCCGGACUGCUUUGGAAACUGUAAGGCUGGAGUGCAGGAGAGGUAAGUGGAAUUCCUAGUGUAGCGGUGAAAUGCGUAGAUAUUAGGAGGAACACCAGUGGCGAAGGCGGCUUACUGGACUGUAACUGACGUUGAGGCUCGAAAGCGUGGGGAGCAAACAGGAUUAGAUACCCGAGUAGUC